rnacentral:rRNA from 1 species
GAUGAACGCUGGCGGCGUGCCUAAUACAUGCAAGUCGAGCGAACAGAUGAGGAGCUUGCUCCUCUGACGUUAGCGGCGGACGGGUGAGUAACACGUGGAUAACCUACCUAUAAGACUGGGAUAACUUCGGGAAACCGGAGCUAAUACCGGAUAAUAUAUUGCACCGCAUGGUUCAAUAGUGAAAGACGGUUUUGCUGUCACUUAUAGAUGGAUCCGCGCCGCAUUAGCUAGUUGGUAAGGUAACGGCUUACCAAGGCAACGAUGCGUAGCCGACCUGAGAGGGUGAUCGGCCACACUGGAGCUGAGACGCGGUCCAGACUCCUACGGGAGGCAGCAGUAGGGAAUCUUCCGCAGUGGGCGAAAGCCUGACGGAGCAACGCCGCGUGAGUGAUGAAGGUCUUCGGAUCGUAAAACUCUGUUAUUAGGGAAGAACAAAUGUGUAAGUAACUGUGCACGUCUUGACGGUAACUAAUCAGAAAGCCACGGCUAACUACGUG